UGGAGAGGGGAAACCUUGGGAUGCUGCUCGCAGCGGUUCCUGCAGCAGGGGGGGGAGAAUCUCCCGGCUCCGCGAGGCAGCCCGGACGCCGGGGCCCCCUCGGCGGUGGCGGCGGCGGCUCCUCCCGGCGCCGGUUGCAGCCCGGCUCCGUGCGCAGGGACACAGGAAGGGCCGCGGCAGCCGGAGCCGCAGGAAGCCGAGCGGAGCCGCCGGCCGGAGCGGGGGCCCUUCGCUCCCGGGAGCACGGACCGGCCGCGGGGCGUUUACACCCUCGAAAUCCCCCCCCCCCGCUGCCGCAUCCGCGGCCCUUUUCCAAGCUGCUUCCCGGGCCGGGAUUACUCCGGUUAAACCCUGCCGCCCCUCCGCUGCCUCCCGCCCGCGUUUCCCCCCCCACCCCGGCCCGUUUUCCUCCCGUUUCUCCCCAGGAUCGGUGUAGGAAGCGCCGCGCGGGACGGGACCCGAUCGCGUGCGGAGCGGGAACGCCGUGCCGGAGAGCCGCCGGGCGCCAGGGCUCCCCCUUCCCGAGCCGGAGCAGCAGGCAGAGCCGGAUCCCCGGAGCGCCGAGGGAGCGGAGAGCCCGGGAGCGGGCGGCGGAGGCGGGAGACGCCGGCGGGCAGCGAAGCGGUGGCUUAGCCCCGGCUUUUCCGUUCCGUUUUUCCCCCGUAAAUCCCCGCUCCGCCCGGCUUCGCUGGCUCCGCUCUCUCCGUUAACGCCGGCGUUUCCAGCGAGGCACCGACGGCCGCAGGGCCGAGCCGGGCCGGGAGCGAGCGGACGGAGGCGGAAAGCCCCGGGGACGCAUCGGAGAGGGCCCGCGGCGCCCAAAAACGCCCCGAAAGGGCGAAACCCUGCGUGCGGACAGAGCCAAAAAUACAUUUGUUAACGGUC